GACGAACGCUGGCGGCGUGCUUAACACAUGCAAGUCGAACGGAAAGGCCCUGCUUUUGUGGGGUGCUCGAGUGGCGAACGGGUGAGUAACACGUGAGUAACCUGCCCUUGACUUUGGGAUAACUUCAGGAAACUGGGGCUAAUACCGGAUAGGAGCUCCUGCUGCAUGGUGGGGGUUGGAAAGUUUCGGCGGUUGGGGAUGGACUCGCGGCUUAGCAGCUUGUUGGUGGGGUAGUGGCUUACCAAGGCUUUGACGGGUAGCCGGCCUGAGAGGGUGACCGGGCACAAUGGGACUGAGGAACGGCCCAGACUCCUACGGGAGGCAGGAGGGGGGGAUUUUGCAAAAAGGGCGGAAGCCUGGAGGAAGAACGCCGCGUGCGGGAUGACGGGCUUUCGGUUGGAAAACGCUUUCGCCUGGGACGGAGCGGGAGUGGCGGUAAUGGGUAAAAAAGCCACGGCUAACUACGUG
rnacentral:rRNA from 1 species